rnacentral:tRNA from 1 species
GCGAUCAUGGCGGAAUUGGUAGACGCACCAGCUUGAGGGGCUGGCGGGGGGUUCCCCGUGGGAGUUCGACUCUCCCUGAUCGCA